UGAUAGCAAUAAUGGUCAGUGAAAAAAUA
rnacentral:piRNA from 1 species